GUCUCCACAGUCGUGAAAAAAAAGGGAAAAGCAUUUCCAACAAAAGGAGGUGGGGAAAGGAAGGAGGCACACAAAUACUGAGAGGCAACAGUCACUCCCAGCGAGGACUGGCACAGAGAAAACAGACUCAGAGGAAGUAAAGUUAGGAGCAACCAACAAGCGUGAAUAAGAAGAGACGAGCAAGAAACCAGAGGAGCAAGAAUAGAUUAAGAGGACAGGAGAUUUCAUGUUAUGUGUCCUCUCACUUUUGCUCGACUCCACAUGCAGAGUAUCAUCAGUACCUGAGGAAUUAUCCCUCUAGCCUUAAUCUCUACCUGCUUAUCUCCGGCUGCUCUGGGUUUCAACAACAAACUAACACGCUGACAAAUUCAACACUCAGCAGUCAGUCUGGGCUGGGCUGAGCGUGUGAAAACAACUCUCUCGGGAUGGAUGCCAGAGAGGAGACGCUGAGCAUCCUGAAUAAUAUAUGGGUAAAGCUGCAAGGUCUGCCCAACGCCAGCCCCAUAGAGCUGGGAGCUUUCUUUGUCAUCUUAACCUUCAUCUUGGUGUUCAUCUUAAUGGCAACGCUGACCUGCGUGACCUGCUGCUGCUGUCGCAAGACCAGGGGAUCUAUUCUUUGAGCAAUUGUGCUCCACACAAAGAACUGAGGAUGGUGCAAAAUGGGCUCAAAACACAACAGGUUUUCUCUACGGCCUGUGAAAGCCUUAAGAAUCUCUAAGAGUUAAAUAUAACUCUGACUGAGAGUCAUGUUCAUAUAAUUAAUAGGCAUUCAAAACAUUUCAGAGAGCAAUAUACAGGGUGUGUUUCGUGGCCUUAGAGAAGCCCAACCCUACAACACAGCUGUCAAACACAGAGGAGGACCGACUGGCUGCCAAACACACCUGCUAAGGCUGCCAGCAUUUCAGGAGAAUCUACAUUCCUGGGAGCAUCCCUGGACUUUAAAGGGGAACAACAAUGCUUCUGAAGCCAAGAACACCAAAAUAUCUUAAACAAUGCAGGCAAAUACGAGAAUAAGAGCUACAGAAAAUGUGUGAAACGAUUAAAAAUCACAGUAAGUUGCAGCCAAGUGUGUUUCGUAAAUGUUUCUCUAAAAAGGUAAAUAUGUGUCAUUGUUAAGAAAUGAGAAUUGGCAGGCAGAAAUAAGUAACAUGUUCCUAAGGGAGGCUUCACAACAAAGCGAGAUCAAGUCUGCCCUCUGCUGUGCACAAACAGAAAUGUCUCUGAUUUUAUUUUGAAAAGCACAGCAUGCAUGUAAUGGAAGUUGUGUCAUAUGUAUAAAGUGUCAUGUUAUAUUAUGUGCAAAGGGUGAAGCCGUUAUGUAAUGAUGUUGUACUUUUGACUACAUUUUUUUUUUAGCAAUAAACGAAGAGUGACUAGCA